rnacentral:rRNA from 1 species
UACGGAGGGUGCAAGCGUUAUCCGGAUUUACUGGGUUUAAAGGGUGCGUAGGUGGGUAGGUAAGUCAGUGGUGAAAUCUUCAAGCUUAACUUGGAAACUGCCAUUGAUACUAUUUAUCUUGAAUACUUUGGAGGUAAGCGGAAUAUGUCAUGUAGCGGUGAAAUGCUUAGAUAUGACAUAGAACACCAAUUGCGAAGGCAGCUUACUACACAGUUUUUGACACUGAGGCACGAAAGCGUGGGGAUCAAACAGG